CUCAUGAGGAUGCUCCCAAAAGGAAAACUUUCCAAUCAUCACAGGCUCCUACCACACACCAGCACUGCCAUGUUCCUCUUCCCAUGUCAAUGCCUAGCCAGGAGCCCAUGCAACUGGAUUUCUCAAGAUUUACUGAAGAGGAGAGAACUCGACGACGUCAACUCAAUCUGUGCUACUACUGUGGUGAAACAGGCCACCACAGCGUAGGAUGCCCACACAAAGCCCGGAGGAACACCAAAAUUACUACCCGGCGCUGAUCAACUCUGGAGCUUCCCUGAAUUUCAUCCACAAGGACAUCAUUAACAAAUUCAACAUUCCCACUCAACCCUGUGUGCCACCCAUCAAGAUCAGUGCUGUUAACAAUACACCCAUAAGAGAUGGCAUCAACCAGCAAACACAAACACUUCAACUCCAUAUUGGACUAUUCCAUCAAGAGGCCAUUUCCUUCUACGUCAUUGAUAUGAAAUUAUCCUUGGCUACCCCUGGUUAUCUGUUCAUGACCCAAUCUUUUCCUGGCAUCAUGGUGAGCUAACCCACUGGUCUAAAUACUGCCAAACCCACUGCAGACAAACCGCUAUAACCAAGCCCUGUUUGACAACAAGCAUAGAAAACCCAAACACUACUCAAGCUACUAAGAUUCCCUCCUGUUAUGAGGAGUUCAGUGAAGUUUUUAGUAAAAUCAAGGCCACCCAGUUACCACCUUAUCGACCAUGGGACUGCGCUAUUGACUUGUUACCCAAUGCCAUGCCUCCUAAGAGUAAAGUCUACCCUCUGUCACGCAACGAGACUCAAGCCAUGGAAGAGUACAUAGAAGAUGCUAUGAACUCUGGAUUUAUCUGUCCCUCCACUUCACCAGCUGCCGCAGGAUUUUUCUAUGUGGAAAAGAAAGAUGGAGGCUUACGGCCAUGCAUUGACUAUAGAGGUUUAAAUAAUGUGACUAAGUUCUGCUACCCCCUUCCACUGGUUCCUUCAGCACUGGAACCACUGUGAGGCCAGGAUCUAUACAAAGCUCAACCUCAGAAGCGUGUGUGUGUGUAAUGUGUUUUGAAAUUGUGGAGACAGACCACUGGUCUAGUCGAGCCAUUGGUGCCUGGCACAGGGGUCAAUUGCUCCUCCUGGAAUGUGUUUGAAGUUCGAUGGGGAGACCAGAGAGUUGAUCUGUUCAGCAUCUUCUGGAUAAUGGGGGUAAACAUUGGCCAUUUAUAGUGCCCAUAUAACUGUAGACUAUGGGGCCAGAUUCUGUAAUUUAUAUGCAAAUAUUAAAAGGCUAAAAUGAAUUUCUAAGACAAAGCCCAAACAAUCGUAC
ensembl:lncRNA